ACGUAGGGGCCAAACGUUAUCCGGAUUUAUUGGGCGUAAAGGGCUCGUAGGCGGUUCAACAAGUCGGCCGUGAAAGCUCGGGGCUCAACCCCGAGACGCCGGUCGAAACUGUUGUGACUAGGGUCCGGUAGAGGUGAGUGGAAUUCUCGGUGUAGCGGUGGAAUGCGCAGAUAUCGAGAGGAACACCAGUUGCGAAGGCGGCUCACUGGGCCGGUACCGACGCUAAUGAGCGAAAGCGUGGGGAGCAAACAGG
rnacentral:rRNA from 1 species